CUUUCUUAGGGCACCUCAUACCACUCUGACCCCUCUGUUCCACAAGCACCUUUUGUGUCUCUCUCUGUCCCUUGCACAGCUGGGAUUUGUGUUGGGAUUCUGCCACAGAGUCCUGGAAUGGUUUGGGUUGGAAAGGGCCUUAAAGAUCAUUUAAUUACAACUCCUCUGCCCUGGGCAGGGAUGCAUUCACUGGAACAAACCUUGCUCUGAUGUUGAUUUUGAGACUGGGUUUGAAAACAUCUGGGAACUUGCAGACAGUGCUUACUCCUACAGCUGGCAGCACUUGAAAUCUUCAGAGUUUCUCUCCAGAGGAGCAGAUAAAAGGAAAGAAGGCGUUUUUUAUUCAUUGCCACAAGGACUAGAAAGUUAUUUGUUAUAGCAGCUGAUAUUUUUGCCUCAUGAUUUACUUCAGAGCUACACAUUUAGCUUUACUUGGAUUUUAUAUGAUUGUUGCACCACAGACUUUUCAGUGGAAGCAGAGUGCAUUUCAUGCUGAAGUUGGAAGACAGCCUGUAAACA
rnacentral:lncRNA from 1 species